rnacentral:rRNA from 1 species
AACGAACGCUGGCGGCAGGCCUAACACAUGCAAGUCGAGCGAGCAUUUCGGUGCUAGCGGCGGACGGGUGAGUAACGCGUGGGAACGUGCCCUUUUCUGCGGAAUAGUCCUGGGAAACUGGGGGUAAUACCGCAUACGCCCUUUUGGGGAAAGAUUUAUCGGAGAAGGAUCGGCCCGCGUUGGAUUAGGUAGUUGGUGGGGUAAUGGCCCACCAAGCCGACGAUCCAUAGCUGGUUUGAGAGGAUGAUCAGCCACACUGGGACUGAGACACGGCCCAGACUCCUACAGGAGGCAGCAGUGGGGAAUCUUAGACAAUGGGGGCAACCCUGAUCUAGCCAUGCCGCGUGAGUGAUGAAGGCCUUAGGGUUGUAAAGCUCUUUCAGCUGGGAAGAUAAUGACGGUACCAGCAGAAGAAGCCCCGGCUAACUCCGUG